UACGUAGGGGGCAAGCGUUGUCCGGAUUUAUUGGGCGUAAAGAGCGUGUAGGCGGCCAAGCAGGUCCGCUGUGAAAACUCGAGGCUCAACCUCGAGACGUCGGUUGAAACCAUCUGGCUAGAGUCCGGAAGAGGAGUGUGGAAUUCCCGGUGUAGCGGUGAAAUGCGCAGAUAUCGGGAAGAACACCCGUGGCGAAGGCGGCACGCUGGGACGGUACUGACGCUGAGACGCGAAAGCGUGGGGAGCGAACAGG
rnacentral:rRNA from 1 species